rnacentral:lncRNA from 1 species
AUAGAUUUAAACCAGCUCCGCAAAGCCAGGGCAGGUUUUUAAAUCAAAACCUGGGCUUCGGGUUCCUUUUGUUAGCAAAAUGCCCUUACUUGAUGGAACACCAAAACCUCAUUAAAUUGCAAACACUGGACUAUACAAGAUGGAGAAUGAGCAAUUCCACUUAAAGGCUGCAGCUCUCCACACGUUGCCCCAGAAGGACAAUGAGUUCUAAAGGUCAGGGUUACACAUGGCGUGGGCAGAAGAAACAUAUAUGAAGCCACAAUGUACCAGUUCAUCUCAAUUAUGGUUUGAAGGCCUUUUUGAGAGGAGAGACAAAUCUUUUGUUUCUAUCAUCCUCCAGCAUUAUCUUGGCACUAGUCGUUGAUCCAAAUAAGAAACUUCUUUCCUUAAGUUUCCUCACAAACAACAUCAUCCUUUUUUUUUUUUUUUGAGGAAGAUUAGCCCUGAGCUAACAUCUGCUGCCAAUCCUCCUCUUUUUGCUGAGGAAGACUGGCCCUGAGCUAACAUCCGUGCCCAUCUUCCUCCACUUUAUAUGUGGUACACCUACCACAGCAUGGCUUGCCAAGCGGUGCCAUGUCUGCAACCAGGAUCUGAACCGGUGAAACCCGGGCUGCUGAAGCAGAACGUGUGAACUUAACCACUGUGUCACUGGGCUGCUCCAACAUCAUUCUAUUUUUUAACAGGAUGUCUAAAGGCUCUGAAAAUCAGAUCCAGAGAGAUCAUUUAAUCUCUAUUUAAUCAAAAUAAUCUCAAUAGUCAAUCUAGUCUGACCUGAAACUUUGUAAUUUUAGUCCAUUCUUGUUUAAAUGAUCAACUUACAAAAACAAAUUAACCAGGAGAUCCUCUUCAAUUUGCAAAAAAUCUUUAAGGAGCAAUCAAAUGCAGCCCACAGAGGCUUUCCAGCCACCAUGUCUCUCUAACUAGAGUAACUAGUUAAGUUUCCAGUUUCCUAGAAACAGCUCAUAGUCUUUCUACAAUCUUAGCUUCUCAUCUGGAAGUGACU